rnacentral:rRNA from 1 species
AUUGAACGCUGGCGGCAUGCCUUACACAUGCAAGUCGAACGGCAGCGGACCUUCGGGUGCCGGCGAGUGGCGAACGGGUGAGUAAUGCAUCGGAACGUGCCAUUGAGUGGGGGAUAACGUAGCGAAAGUUGCGCUAAUACCGCAUAUUCUGUGAGCAGGAAAGCAGGGGACCGCAAGGCCUUGCGCUCUUUGAGCGGCCGAUGUCAGAUUAGCUAGUUGGUGAGGUAACGGCUUACCAAGGCGACGAUCUGUAGCGGGUCUGAGAGGAUGAUCCGCCACACUGGAACUGAGACACGGUCCAGACUCCUACGGGAGGCAGCAGUGGGGAAUUUUGGACAAUGGGGGCAACCCUGAUCCAGCCAUGCCGCGUGAGUGAAG